rnacentral:RNase_P_RNA from 1 species
AAGUUGCGCUGUGGCAGCCGCGGCAGUGUUUAUACUACUGCUGAGGAAAGUCCGAACAUCACAUGGCAGGAUGCCGAACAAGGCUCUCUUCUGCGAGGGCACAAGUUCGGGCGAGCGCGAGCAAUCGCGUCUCGACAGAGAGUGCAACAGAAAGCAUACCGCCGCAGCACAUCUGCGGUAAGGGUGAAAAGGCGGUGUAAGAGACCACCAGUUACUCCAGUAAUGGGGUAAGCUAUGCAAACCUCUCCGAUGCAAGACUAAGUAGAGAGGCUUUUUCAGCACACGCUGAAAAGAGAGUAGCCAGCUCAAUCCACUUCAGUGGUGGGAGUCUCUGGGUAAGUCGCAUCAGAGAAAUGGCUGCCUCCUUGAGCGUUCAAGGAAACAGAAUUCGGCUUACGGGCGCAACUUCAUU